ACGGACACUGAUCCAGGGAUCCUCAGUUUGAGAAGGUCAUCUCAUCUCAUUAGAUUGAGUUUGUGAUAUAUUGGUAUUUGAGAGCAUGUUUAUUCAUUUUUGAUCUCGUCUUUGGGUCUUCUUUGUAUUCGUUCAGAGCAUGUACAGUUCAUUUAUAUGUUGUUAAAAAAAAAAAAAAAAAUUGAAAAAAAAAUGGAAAAAGAAAUAAAAACCAGGUGUGUAUUGUUAUCCAUCACUGAGUGUAUAUAUUGAUAUUCGAGGGUCACUUGAUCGAGUAUGUUUGUUGACGGGAG
rnacentral:lncRNA from 1 species